rnacentral:rRNA from 1 species
CACGUAGGGCGCAAGCGUUGUCCGGAAUUAUUGGGCGUAAAGAGCUCGUAGGCGGUCUGUUGCGUCCGCUGUGAAAACUCGGGGCUUAACCCCGAGCCUGCAGUGGAUACGGGCAGACUAGAGGUAGGUAGGGGAGAAUGGAAUUCCCGGUGUAGCGGUGAAAUGCGCAGAUAUCGGGAGAAACACCGGUGGCGAAGGCGGUUCUCUGGGCCUUACCUGACGCUGAGGAGCGAAAGCGUGGGGAGCGAACAGG